AUUGUCAUUAUUAGUAAUAAUAUUAUUGGUAAAAAGCAUACGGGUCUUUUAGCCGCGGGGGCGCGCACGGUGUAUAAGACUCGAUUUAUUUGUUUUUAUUUAAACUGUUUCUGAGCUUCACGCCACAGCAGCAGUUUUUCCGCUCCUGAGAGAGAUUUCCUCUUCUACUACAGAUCCACCGCCUGAUUAAUCCUUUAUACUGUUUAAUUAUCUACAUUAUCUUUUAAUUAUUCUGUAAUUGUUGUGUUUUCUGUGUUGUUGUUGUUUUUUUGUUGUGUUUUUUUUUCUUUUUUAGGUAACCGGAUCCGUUGUGAGGACCGACGCCCCGCGGUCGGACAUGGACUGUCGGCGGACUUUCAGCGUCCAUCCACCUGAGGCGGAGUCUGGAGCUCCAGAGGCUUCACCUCCUCACACUCUGCCUCUUUCUGUGGAUUCUGCGAUGGACAGCUCAGAUGACUGCAGCGUUCUGUCGCUGGGUGAAGUGCCAAUCUCCUGGGUGGAACCGAAUGCCUGUGUUAAGGAGGUGAGAAAAACACAAAGAAAGAUUAAAUUACAGUGAAGCAUCACUGUCACACAGCUGCAUC